rnacentral:lncRNA from 1 species
UUGUGAUAAAGAGAUAAAACCUAAGUUGAGAUUUGUAAUCAGCAAAUCAGGCAAGUAUCUUACCUUUGCAUUUCCUUUAUGCAAUGGACAUGAGUAAGAAGUUUCAGAAUUAUUCUAUUCCUGUACAGAUUAUGUACGCUUUGAUUAUCGACAUGUUAGCUCAGAUAUAUAUUCUGUUCAUUGAUUUCUAUAAAUGGUUAUACAAGUGUCCCCACUUGGAUAAUCAUGGCAUUUGUUCACAUGUUGAUACACCUUUGUCAAUUACCCGUAUAUAUAUGUGGAAUUACAUAUUAUUGUUGAGCAAGAUUAAAAACCUUCGGGUUUGGAACCAGGCAUGUAUGAACAUCCCUAUAUGGGAAGAUUUUUUUGCGCAAGGCGG